rnacentral:lncRNA from 1 species
UAGCAAAGCAAAAGAAGUCACAAGCUGUUACAGAGUUCAAGCAUUCCGGGGUUGCACAUAAGCGACGUGCUAGGGUUCUACAAGAUCCCGGAGCAACACACAUACCAUAUGAUGUGCUUGUUCAUAUUCUGUUUUCUUGACAUGCGCUCUUUGGUAGCAGCUGGUCUUGUCUUCUGGUACUUCUUUUUUCUUUUGUCCAUGUCUUGGAAUUCAGCUGCAAAUGACAACCACCUGUGGAAAAUGAAUUACUCCCUUUUCAUCGGCAUAUGCCAUAUAAACUGCAACAGCUCGCCUACACCUGAUAAUGUACAGAACAACGAUGUUCAUGUGCUAAAUAGCAUGUAUCAAGUAUCUCUUGACUCUGGUUUUAACUGGAAAGAGGCUUUCCACAAUAAAAAACGAGCAAUAUGGAGUUUCACAUCAAAUAGAGCUUUAUAUGGAUAUUGCCGAUCUGUCAUUUGGCUAUGCAACUUGACGUGUGAUACUCCACAUCAUUGUCCUAAGAAUGGAAAAGAUGGACUAAAACUAGGACCUCUAUUACCUCAUACAGUAAUCACUUUUAUCUAUUGUUAA